rnacentral:ncRNA from 1 species
UCUCUGGAGAAUCCCGGACAGACCGGGUGCCGAAGGGGCAAGGCUCCCCUGCCGCACGAAGCGGCAGAAGGGCGACCGAAACUCUCAGGCAAAAGGACAGAGCGUA